CACGGGGGGAGCAAGCGUUGUUCGGAAUCACUGGGCGUAAAGGGAGUCUAGGCGGUCAGGUAAGUGGGAUGUGAAAGCCCCCGGCUCAACUGGGGAGGGUCACGCGAUACUGAUCGACUCGAAGGCAGGAGAGGGUAGUGGAAUUCCCGGUGUAGUGGUGAAAUGCGUAGAUAUCGGGAGGAACACCAGUGGCGAAGGCGACUACCUGGCCUGUUCUUGACGCUGAGGCGCGAAAGCUAGGGGAGCAAACGGG
rnacentral:rRNA from 1 species